ACUUUUUGUUGUAUAAAACAAAUAUUGUUGUGCCUAGUUACUGGGAAGAGGAUUCAAGGCAUGAGAGCUUAAGCACGAGGAGCCCAAACCUCUUGAAUUGGAUGAGCUUUCACUGAGUACAACAUAAGCUAAUGCUGACUGAUAAUGUGACAUCAGGUAGAAGGUCUCUUUUCAGAAGCUAUGAUGGAGGACUUGUGAAUGAUUUUCCACUGCAUUCUGUUUAUUUACUGGCUGGGCUCUUGUCUGUAAUCAACUAUUUAAUACUAGGUAACACCUUUCUCUUCUAUAUCGUGUUGCAAAAAUGACAAUCCAGAAGCCUGCUUCUGUGUUUGGAUCUUAGGCUUACUCUCUCUUUGCUGAGUGGGCACUUCUUCUGGGCUCCUUUAUUUCCUCCCCCACUCAAGUUCUGCCAUCAGUUCCUCUGUUCUUGCUACCUGCUGAAUUGACUGACUUUAGCUGUAGUUCUAGGCCUAUUGAGAUUAAAGGCUUUAUUAAUGCCAGGCACUGAAUGUACCAGGGAAAUGGCCACUUUGUUUCUUUAAGAAUGUUAAAUUCUGUUUAUUGGAAACACAUGGCAGAUUUCUAAUUCCUGUGUGAGUACAAAUAUCAGUUGAGUUAUGCACUUGGAAGGUCACGUGGCAGAACAGGUCCCGUGUCUUCAGUCCACAUACAUGGUUUUAAGCCACAACUAAUAUUUCCUUGUCAGUGACACCUGUGGUUUUCCUCUGUUAAAUAUUUGAUUUGGAAAGAAAAACAUGCAAGGUAGCUUUCACUCUUUGUGACUCUAAUUUAAAACCAAGCCUAUUCAUUUUUAAUAGGAAUGUACGGCACUUAAGCUGGUAAGUCAGUUUCUGGAUGAAUUAGCUGCCACUGUGCUGUUUUCUGUGUUUGAUAUGGCUUCUGCAUUUUGGAGCCAAUGUGUAUUUAGUACCUAUACAUCUCUUCAAAGAGUGUGAUAUGACUUGAAAGGCAGAAUAUUAGGUCGCUGAAAAUAUUUUAGUUUUGUUCUGCAGUAAAAUUCAGUGAAUAUUAAUGAUAGCAACAAUAUUAAAUCUUUGGUUAGAGAGAGGUGGAACACUUCAUUUUUAAGUAAUACUGUUUUUGUUUCUCUCCACUGUUAGAGAGAGGAAACACUGUUAUGAGUUGAGCCACUAGUAGGAAAUCCUAACUGGCUAUGUAGGAUUAAUGAGCUAAAAUUAUUUUUAACCUGACCUCAUAGAAGGAAAAGCACUAGAAAAAUUAAGACAGAAGCAAUUGGUGUUUUUCUCUUUGAAGGCUGUACUAAUACCUAUCAAAUAACCUUGCUUCUAGCUAGAACUUUAUUGAAAUUCUAUGUGGGAUGUUCUUAGUCCAGAAAACAAAUAUGGGGGGGAAGGGAGAGGGAGUCAGUUUUUCUCAGUGCUUUUUUGUCUGCUUUCAGAAUUGUAUGUAAUCCUGUUAUUUUAAUCAUUCUGUUGGAAACUUGGAUUUUGUGCUUCACUUGACUGUUGUUGAAAUGUCAGGAGUUAUUACCCUCUGUGCCAGCAGUGAUCAGUUUAACUGGCAUAUAAACUGAAUGGGGAGUCUGGUAAACAGAUGCUCCCUUCACUCACUUCACAGGUGCUUGGCAUGAAGUUUUACUAAUUAACUUGUUAAUGUCAGGCAUCUCUUAGGAUAAGAUGGAUAUGCAGUGGCUUGCCUGAAAUCUCGAUCUCCUCAGGCAGUUGAUGUGGGAAGCAGAACAAAAAGCCUAUCUAGAAUAACCAUGCUAAGAGCAAAGUCACUGUCACCUGCAUUUUCACAAAAGCUAUAAAACAUAAGGCAAUGACUUGCAUCUUGAUGAAUGUUGAUAACAUUUAAAGUGCAAAAUCUGCUUUCAGGUCAUCUUAAUUUUUCUUCCCACUUAGGCAAGCAUUGGUAUUCUCCUGUGUUUGUGAUGAGUCACUGUAGAAACCCAGGUGGGAGAGUUCAGAACAGAUAGUCAGCAUAUGUUAUUGCAAAGGACACAGGUAUUUUACAUAAUUAACUGCUUGAGGCCCUGAUGGAGAACAGGAAGCUCACCUGGGCCUUAAGCCGUGGUGAAAGAAUUGCCUGCUACUUCUAAGUGAAAUCAUCUGUUGCUAAUUUUCCUGCCUAGUUUGCCUUCCAUUCUUUUCAUAUGAUCUUCAGGGUUGUUUGCUAUAUCUUUAUGAUGAUUCUUUUAAGAAGCUUUUCCUUCAUCUUUGGCAGUUUCAUCAGGUUCCCUAGGAAGUUAGUCUGGAGAUGGAACACAAGCUUUUCAAGUAAGGCAGAAGCAGAAAAUAAUGCAAUUUUUUAGAAUAGAAAGGGCUGAGCUGUUCCUCUGAGUAGCAGCUUGUUUGAACUGACCCACAGUGAACUCCUUAUUGAUCUGCCUCUUCAUCUUUCCUACCUAAUCUAUGCACCCUUUCAUGCUUACUUGUAAACAGUUGCUUCCAGGUUGUUUGCUGCUGCUGCUUCACUGCAUUUAAUUAAAUCAUUUGUCCUCAAAUACAGGCUCUUUGGCAACUAUAGUUCUCUUGAUUUAAGACAGCCUUGCUGCAUAUAUUUUUUUUCUAUUGGAGUAUACAUUGUGUUAGCUGGUAUUCAAAUUCAUUUCAUGGCUUUUGAGUUCUGUGGGGCCUCAGGAAUAUUCUACUAAAUAGACUGCAGUUGGCUUCCUUUAUGUAGUCCUUUGCCUAUUCAGUGCCUCAACAUCCUUGGGUAGCAAGUUCCAAGGCGAGGAAUUAGUUCACCAGGGAAGUAGUGAUAAGAGUUCCUGUCACCCACCUUUGAGGUAACCUCUUUUUUUAAUGUGAAAUGGGUAUACUGGAAAAUGACUUUUUCCAGUUAUGUGUAAUAUGUUAUCUCUUAAUUGUUGGGUUUAUAAGACUUCUCUAACAACAUAUGCAGUGCACAUGGCUUCUGUUGUUCUGCGUCCUGGAUUACUUCUCUUUUAUUUACACUCACUGCAAAUAGUCUUUGGCAGAAUGUGAUAUAGAACAAACAUACCCACAGCAGAUUCAAGUAGUCUUGUUUCUUCAAAAAUAUUACUUGAGGUGUUGGUUAAAUUAUGAACAUAAAACAUUAAUUUGCAAACAGCAUAAUGAUUUGAGAAGUUUCUGAAGUGUGUAAAUGUGUGUGUGUCUCAGCCUCCAUAUGCAUGCGCGUACAUAUAAAGAUCAAUAUAUUUUGCUAGUUUUUCUCUACUUUUCUGGUUUUGUUCAGUUACUUCUGACUUGCUGUUUUAUCAGUGACUACUUCUGGAAAUGAGAGGAAACACGUGACCAUUGUUUCCUGUCUGCUUUACCAGAAGGCUUUUUACACAGUGCCUGUGGUACCUUGUGUGAGCUGUUAGGGAGCUGGCUUUUGCCAGAACACUCAGUGUCCUUUUGCUGUGUUGUAUGCAGGAACAUUGAUUCUUCUGAGGAGAAGAUCUGAAGUUAGUCUGGGCAUAGCAUUAGUUUAAAUUCUUCAGGGCUGCUGACUGAUGCUCUUAAGUGUGCAUCUGUUUGUGAUCUUCUAAAGGAAGCCUUUGAAAGAUCCACAAUUGAUAGGUGCUAUAAUGCUAAACUGUUAGUUUAAUGGGGGCGUCAGAACUGAAGUGCAGGGAGCACAGCUUGUCACCAGUACCUCCUGCAUAUGUUGAUGCAAUGUGAAGAAUGGAAAUAAACCUUUUAUUGGAGAAAUUACUUUCUGAGGCUCAUCUGAAGCAUUCGGCCUUGCCAGCUUUUGAAAGUAAGAGCAUGUGUGCAUAAAAUAAAAAAUUGAGAAGUGGUUUAGGGAAAAGUGUUAUCUCAUAAAAAAGGGAGUUAAAUAAAACUUGUAUAACUUGUGGUAUUAUUUGCAUUUAUCCAAAGGAGAAGUAGAAAAUGGAAACUGAAUGAAGAAUCCUCAGGUAUUUCUGCUGUCUAUCUCUUUAGGAUAUUUUAACUGCUGUUACUAAGUUACUGUGAAUGCUGAUUUUUCCUCCUGCAGGAAUUGGACAUAGCUCAUUAAUAAAAUUGCUGGAAAAUAGGACUUUGUGGGCUUUUAAAUUCUAUUCUUUUCCAAAACAGUGUUUGAUGGAAGAUAAACCAUAAAGAAGACUGUAAUUGAAACGUUGAUUGUCUGACAGGUGUUGAGCCAAAAACUCCUGGUCACAGGCUGAAGUGUCUUGGAGCUGAAGUAUCUUGAAUACAUGUGAUGUCUAAGCUCUGUUUAGAUUUAACUGCUGUAUCAAUUUUAACUAUGUGCAUUAAUAAGCUUAAUGGAAGAGCAGUGUACAGUGUUCUAAGGAAGUAAUGCAGUUAUUGUUAAGUACUUAGAUUGUCUUUGUUUUUUUCUGACAUUACUCUUCUUUUGCCUCUUUCUUUAGAAGAAAAGAAUGGCUAUGGAGAUUAGUUUUUGGAAACAGUAAGAAACAGCAGAUCCCAGAUCUAUCUCAGCCUGGCAGUUAACUUCAGGAAAAAGUCUUGCUUCAGGAGCCUAUUUAUAAGUGAUGCGUGCCUACCACUAUAGGAUUUUUAAAAACAUUGAGUUAAGUCGUCUUUAUAGUCAGUGUUUUUUAAAGGAAUUUAAGCUUAGCACUGAACAGACAAUACCAGCUCUUAUUGUAGUUUUGACACUUUUAAGUGUAAUUGAGUUAAACUGUUUUCAUGACAUUAGUGAAUACAAGAAUGAAACGCUAGCCCCAAAUUAAUCACUUUUUAAAUAAGUCAUGUAAUUUAGAGGACAAUUUAUUUUUGUGUAAGCCCUAAAACGUGUGUAUAUAUACAGAUAUGAAUGGCUUUUCAGUGUCAAUCUGUAGCAAAAUCUUAAAUGUUUUCAGAGCAGGAUAAACAAGAGAAUUUUUGCUGCUUCACGGAAGUAAAAUGUUUAUAGUCUGAAUUUUAUUUCAAGUAUAUUAAAUGUAGUAUGCUAUAUAGAGCUAUGUAGGGUUUUUUAAUAUUGAAUUUGAAUUGUUAGCACAGACAGAGAUACAUGUUGAAAAAGUCUGCUCCAAAAAAUUGAAUUUGGAAUGAGAAAGGAUUCAUACAGCCUGGAAAUAUUAAAGUGUAAGAACUAUUUCCAUGGUUGUGUUAAGAUAUGUAGGAUGUAGUCUAUUUACAAACGAGUUUGAAUAUCAUUGUAGAUAGCAAUAAAUAGAAGAGUGAGAAAAGAGUGGCAAGUUCAGUUGCAAGGUACUUUUUUCCUGCAAAUUUAUGAAAACAUCCUAGGAGCUUCUAACCUCACAUCUUUAAGAAAAUCUUUUUCCUACAGUUUGAGUCUUUUUUUUUUUUAAGGCAGAGUUGAAUGCACAGUGAAGCAGAAAUUGGAGUGCUGAUACACCACUGAUAAUGAUAUUGCAGAUGCUGUUGCUUCAGUGGGUUUAUAAACUUUUAAUUCAUUUGAAUUGAGAGAGCAAGCCGAAGGAGGUCUUCAAAAAGGGAACUUACAGUAGACAGUUGUUGCAGGCAAACUGUUAGGUAAGCACUGAUAAAUAGUCUGAUUGCAUGUUGAUGACAAGUAUUGUGUGCUCUGCUUUGAAAACUUAAUGAUACAUGUGCCCUAACGGUACGACUAUAGUGGUUGUUGUUAGACAGUUGCUGUUAGAUGGUGGGACUUGGCAAACAGACUGCGCCCGAUUUUGCUGCCAUUGAUCUUAGCUGCAGGAUCACAAACUGAAAGAGGGAACUGAGCCUUCAGGGGGUUUGAAACAAAUAUUGCAUCAUGGAUGUUUCACGUUGCAGAAGCAUCUCUUUCCAAGAUAUUCAUGUGUGUACGCAAUUAACAUCUUGUUGGAGAAGAUUGUUUGGAUUAAGGGUAAUUUUCCUGAGAGAGGGUAAAAAUGACCAAGCAAACAGCCUGGUUCAAAUGCUGCUUGAGGUUGGUGGCCUAUUACAACUAUGGUGCAGAAGACUGUUUUGAUACCUUGACAACACUGAGUUACUUGACUUCAAGAAUAGUGAGCAGCUACAGAAGACUUUAUGGUAGUGAAGACUGUAGUCUUUGCUGGAAGUUUGUGUGCCCAAAGCAGUCUUGUGGCAAAAUGGAGCUUUCUCUGGGCUCAGUUGCACUGCCAAGGAGUCAAGGCAAUUAGGGAGCUUAAGGAGUUUUAGAUAAUAACGCUUCUGGGUGUUCAAAUGGUCAUAAACAAGUGUGUAAAAAUAAUGUGCAACAGAAGAGUGGCAUUGUGGAAGCUCUGAAUUCAUACUGUUUUUUUCUCUGAUUAGGUUAAUUUAGCCAUUGUGCAAUUCUGACCUUUGCAGUUCGCGCAAAGAGAGAAUCCUGAGAGACGAGGUUUUGUCUUUGUUUAUUUAAUUGUAUCCUAUAACAAAAAUUUGUGUAGCAAACUGAAGGUAUUUCAAGGUGAGUAUGUGAGGGAUGAAUGAAGGUGCAAAAGAAAACAUCCCAAGUUUAAGAAAACCUAAGCUGAAAUGUUCUCAGUGUUACUGCACACUUGUCAAGUUUAGACAGUUGCUUUGUGUAUUUCAAGCUCCAAAUUUUGGGGGAAAAAAAAGUAAAAGAAUCUAGGCUGAAACAGCUCACAAGGAAAAGACUGUGAAAGCACAGAAAAGCGGAACGUACUUGGAAGCUUUUCUUUGUGUGCCCGAGGUUCCACCCUGGUACACAGGCUAUGCUUUGUGGCACAGCAGUGUCAAACUUUGAUUUAUCUUGGGUUUAAAAAUGACACACAACAAACACACCUAAGUAACCAGUAGUUUCUUGCCUGAUUUCUUUUUUCUUGCUUGUAACAGUUGAAGUGCUAGAGGCUGCUAGAAUUAACUCUUUGUGGUCUUAAACCUGGAAUCCUUCCUGUGAGGAGAGGUGAGGACUUGAAACUGCAAGAAUCUUUUGAUUUACUGUAUUGCACGUGGGACGGUUCAGGACUCCAAGGAAUAUAUUACGUGCAUGGGGGAAAUCUAAAAUUCUAGAAAAACAACCUGGAAAGUUAACAACUGUUUUCAUCUUUCUGGAGAAAAGCAUGCAAAAAUGCAGAAGCUGCUAAACUGAAGGAGUUCCUUGUUGUUACAUGUAAUUGAAUGUUAAUGGCAGUUCUUCUGUUUAGCUGUGUUUUUAGUUCACAGCUCUGAAGUGUCACAUGAUUUCAGUGUUAGGAAACCUUUUUAAAGAGUCACUCUGAGCAUAAGUUGUGCUUCACUGAUAUUUACUAUACCUAGGUUGCAGAUUCAUCUAACCUAUCUUGUUUUGCAUUAUCCAUCCACUGUUUUUUUUUUUUUUUUUGGUUUUUUGUUUUUGAGAAAAUAAAAGCUGUAGUUUCUUUGACCUCUGUUCUGGAGAAGGCAGAAAGUUCAUAAAUCAUGAAUCCAACCCCAUGCAUAUUGCAUAAGGGUAAGGAACAGCGCAACAACUGAUGUACAGUAAUUCAAUAUAACCUAGCACAGAGUGGCACAAAACUACAGUAUUCUGCAGUAUUUGUGAGCUGCAGUAUUCUAGGGGUUUGACAUAGCGCUUUCCUACAUGAAAAGGGUUGCAUUGUGCACGAAGUUGUGAAAGAAACACUGCUAUUCAGAGUUUUUCAGCUAUUUAUCUGUAGGGAGUUAGUAUUUGCUGUCUAGGGUGUUUCUGGGUUUUGUUUUUUUUUGUAGAAUUGGACAGAGAUAUCGCCUGAUCAGCACAAUGCUGCUCACAAAUGUGUGGCAAACCCCCAUGGCAAUGAAGUUUGAGUUGAACAUAUGGAGAAAGAACUAAAACAUUCACAAACUCACUACAUGUUCAGUCUCAUUUACAUCAACUUAAGAAUAAAGCUUACUUGUUUUAAUUGAAACCUGUAUCUGUAUUGGUUGAAUUCAUUGUUUUGAGCUCCUAAUAAACAUAUUGACCAGUCUCCUACUUCCACGUUUGCUUUGAAGGAAGCGUUGGCAUUAAACCUUAAAUGGACUGUCUUUCAGUUGUUCUGAGUGGAAAAGAACUUAGCUGCUUAAAUUAAUGCUGAUUGUGUGGAAUACCAUGCAUCAUAAAACAAAAUGGUGUUUUGUCUUAAGUAUGAUGUUUUCUCUAGUGUUCUGUGAUGUUCAUCGAAGGCCUUCAGUUUUUUACUAUAUUGCUUUUAAAGAACUGGCCAGUGUUGUAGUUCAGUUUUCAACAUUCUGAAUCUUUAUUACAGCAUUCAAACUCCUUUAAAUUCAUUUUGUCAUUGCAGAUGUGAUAGUGAUCUUAAACCCUCAAGUUCUGAUAUCUGCCAAUUUUUGCUGAGAUGGUUGUAAGUUAUCCUCUCCAAAGCAGAGGAGUGAUGCUGGCAGUGCUGCUUGCCAAAGCUGUGAGUUUUAGGAGCAACAGAAGCAAGCCAGUGAGAGAAAUAGGUAAAUCAUUGUUGCCUCUGUCUGUGCAUACUGUAUGAAGAUAGCUUCAGAGGGAGGAAGGUUAAAAAAAAAUAAAAUGUGUAGUUAGACAAGAAAGCCUGUAUUCCUGUUUUGUCAUCCCAGACAAGAGACAGGUUGUACAGAACAUGCCAUUCUGUGCUGCUUCUUCCUGAUCUCGUGGGCUGCUGCACAGUAAGUGUUGCCUCUCUGCCAUAAAUGUGAAAUGAAGUCAUUGUUUCUGCGUUUGCCAGUGCAGAUGUUUGUAUUUCUUAUCAAUAAUCUGUCAGGUGUUGUUUGCACAGCGUAAUUACUGAGAUUUUUUCUUCUUUUUAUUCACAUUUUCCUGCUGGAUGGCAUCAUUCCAAGGGAUGUCACUGUGGUGGGUAAUCAGAACUUUGCAGCAUACAGAAC
rnacentral:lncRNA from 1 species